GUUGCCACAUGGGACCAUCUCUGUGACUUUUAGGUAGGUAAUUGUGUUAAGUCUGUUUUAUGCUUUCAAGGUGUUUUUAAGUACUUAGUUGUAUAUUUUGCAGCAGUCUGCUACCUGCCUGACUGUUGGGCCUGGAAGGGAUUCCAAGCUCCCCUGCCUGGCGUGGUGUGAUGAACUCUCCCUUAGCCUACUGAGUACAUUUGAGUGAAGUUACAGCAGUGGAGGAGAAGACGGAUAUAGAAGAAUUAAUCACUGUGACCCACAGUACUUUGACUUUGAACUGGAGGCUGCAGCUAACACUGCAGUCCAGAGGAAGGAAUAACCGGCUGAAGUGCAUUUACACUCUAACCACCUCGACUUCAACUGAACUGUGAAUCAGUGUACUUCUCACAGAUUACUUCAACUAAAAGCAAUGAGGUCAGAAGAUGUGACCAGAGUUUCUGCUGUUUUAAGUCAUUUUUCUAACAUCACUUGGAAAGCAAUCUUUUCUACCCUGGACCUGCAGAGCUAUUGUGACUGGACUUGACAGGCUUUCUAGUUACACAUUCGGACAGGUUACAGAUUUCAGUGUAACACUAGAAAAGCCUGGGUUUGAGUAUCUAGCCAGGUAAAAGGUAGCAGGAGAUUUCUUUAUAUAGGCCUAGUUGUAUAUUGUAUGGAAGUUAGGAUUACUAUUUUAUUUUUGUCCCCCUUUACUUGUGUAAAGCAUCCUUGGGUUUCAUGAAAGGUGCUAUAUAAAACAGUUAUAAUUGUAUUGGUUGCUACUGCUUUGGCUUGUGAUGGUGAUUUAGCUCAGGAUACAUCCAAAGUAGGCUAAGUGUACCGUAUGCAUUACUGAAAUGCAACGAUGCAUCAGCAACGUAUUCUCUCAUUGUAAAUGAGAAUGUCUUUAGCAAAACAUUCAUCCCAAAUGUAUGACCUCGCGCUAACUCUAACACAGUGGGUAGUACAGCAUCAGCCGGCGCACUACAAAAGGUCUUUACGACAGCAGGUGUGGUAGCAGAAUUUGAGCUGACAUAUUUUCUGUUGUAAGCCAUUCCACCCCAAGUCACCAUAAAAUUACUAAAUU